rnacentral:lncRNA from 1 species
CCAAGAGAGUAGUCCGCUAUAGUUGAGUUUUUGAGUGUCUUUAUUAUUCUUAUCUUACGACCUUUCAUCUGGGUUUCCGAUCCUAGUUUGCUUACUCAUGCUUUUCCAUUGAACUCGACGACACUCUUGCUUUCAUAGGUUAGGACACCGCUUGCUUGGAGAUUCCAUGAUUCUCAGCUAGAGUUGUGGCCUCAAACAUGUCUUUUGUUAUAUAGAUAUCCACCCGCCCUGGAAUAGAAACUCCUGCAAACCACCCUCACACCUAUUUAUUAGUAUAGGCCAGCCCCAAAGCAAAGUGAAGGUUAGUUAGCACUACUGCUUUGCCAUCAUGUAGGUAUCAACCCGUUUUCCAGUAUAGGAGCACAACAGCACAGGAAAGACUGGAACAGUGAGUUUAACGUCUAGGAAAGGAGCACAGACGCAUAAGGCACCUAUUUCUCUGCUCUGCGGACUGUGUUAUAGUAAAGGUAAGCUUCAAUUGUUGAUACCGGCAGCUGAGGAUAACCAAUGUCUUGUUUUGGGGUAUGCUAAGUUAUGUUUAUACUCUAGUUUGCUAAAUGAGAUUGUUUUUGAAGCAGGACUCGAGUUAGUUGGGCACCAGAACUCAGUGAGGGUAACCGGAGCAGGGUUAGGUUUAGGAAGUGGUUAGUAUAUAACUCCUAUAACUCCUAAUUGAGUAUUGAAUACCUUGACUCUGGUGCCUGUAUUGUAUUAAACUAAUAAGGAAAUGCAGUAUCAAGUCAAUCAGCAACAAGCGCGGGAAGGAACGGGAAGUAGACUCAAGAAUCCGCAGUGCCAGUGAAGUCGAUGAGAUCAGUAGCUUGAUCGGAAUAAGGUAAAGAAUAAGGAUCAUCAUAAGGAGCAAUAAAGUCUAUCUACACAGGCGCAAGAGUCGGGUCAGCUAGAAGUGGUUAUGAACUGAGAGUCGAGUUUGGGGUCUAUUAGUAGCUCUCCGGUGACAAGUCUCUUUCUGUUCUUGUUGAAUACCUUGUGGAAUCCGUUUUCCUAUAUAAGAAGAGAGAGAAGAAGCUUUAGCCCUUGUAUAACACGCAAGAGAAAACUCCUUCUUCGCCCUACUAGUAAAGAAGAGAAUCNNNNNNNNNNNNNNNNNNNNNNNNNNNNNNNNNNNNNNNNNNNNNNNNNNNNNNNNNNNNNNNNNNNNNNNNNNNNNNNNNNNNNNNNNNNNNNNNNNNNNNNNNNNNNNNNNNNNNNNNNNNNNNNNNNNNNNNNNNNNNNNNNNNNNNNNNNNNNNNNNNNNNNNNNNNNNNNNNNNNNNNNNNNNNNNNNNNNNNNNNNNNNNNNNNNNNNNNNNNNNNNNNNNNNNNNNNNNNNNNNNNNNNNNNNNNNNNNNNNNNNNNNNNNNNNNNNNNNNNNNNNNNNNNNNNNNNNNNNNNNNNNNNNNNNNNNNNNNNNNNNNNNNNNNNNNNNNNNNNNNNNNNNNNNNNNNNNNNNNNNNNNNNNNNNNNNNNNNNNNNNNNNNNNNNNNNNNNNNNNNNNNNNNNNNNNNNNNNNNNNNNNNNNNNNNNNNNNNNNNNNNNNNNNNNNNNNNNNNNNNNNNNNNNNNNNNNNNNNNNNNNNNNNNNNNNNNNNNNNNNNNNNNNNNNNNNNNNNNNNNNNNNNNNNNNNNNNNNNNNNNNNNNNNNNNNNNNNNNNNNNNNNNNNNNNNNNNNNNNNNNNNNNNNNNNNNNNNNNNNNNNNNNNNNNNNNNNNNNNNNNNNNNNNNNNNNNNNNNNNNNNNNNNNNNNNNNNNNNNNNNNNNNNNNNNNNNNNNNNNNNNNNNNNNNNNNNNNNNNNNNNNNNNNNNNNNNNNNNNNNNNNNNNNNNNNNNNNNNNNNNNNNNNNNNNNNNNNNNNNNNNNNNNNNNNNNNNNNNNNNNNNNNNNNNNNNNNNNNNNNNNNNNNNNNNNNNNNNNNNNAUGCCUCUUCGUUGCUUUUAUUCAUGCCAUCUCUCUACCCUAUUCUUUGUCUUCCACAUCUCGUACCCCUCGGACGCUCUCUCUCUUCUUCUUUCUAGGGUGUGUUUGCAGUUGAUCCCUUUUUCCUGUGUUUUCGGUUCCCCUACAGCUUCUAUCUCAGCUCCCUAUAUGCUCUUUUACAUCCUCUUAAUCUCCCGUUAAUCCAGUUUUCCAUGCCCUCUCUGGAUCCUAUAGUAGUAGAAGUUGUUAUUGUCAAUUCAGUGGGCGAUCUAGCGAGUUUAGUCUAGGCUAGGUUCCUUGUGAGCGAGUAUCUAUAGGUUCCUUGUGAGCGAGUAAUAAUUCAUCUUGUCGUCUUAGCGUGUUCAAUUCUGUAUUUCUUUAUUUCGAGAAAGAUAAUCAGCAGAAGCAAGAUACGGUGAGUAAGCAUAAGAAUAAUAAGUGGAAAGAUCAGAUGCAGUUCGAAAGGAAGCUAUAAGCGAAGGAAGUGGGUCAGAACUUCAAGUGGAUUACGGUUCGGGUGGCGCUUACGCUGAGUAGAUAUGGUUUCAAGUGAAGUCUAUGAGAUAUUUUAUUGGCUUUCCCGAGUAGGAAUGAAUCUCUUGGGGCAGCAGACUUAACUCUUUCCCGCCGAGAAAGACCCUGCUCCAUCUGUUGCUGAAGAUCCCCAAAACAGGACUUGCUUGCUUUAGCAGCUUGGUUCUUUAGUUUUAUGGGAAAUAACCCUUGCCUGAUCGAGUGUUCUUUCGCCCUUGUGCUCACGCUUAUGGGAGUUUUGUUUUGAGUGAGCAGUAUACUAUAUACUAUAAAUGAGAUUAUGACUAUCUACUAGAAAUUCUAGAGUAGGUGAGUGAUAUCUUCUGAAAUUCCAUGAACAGAAUCAGGGGAGUCGGAAACUUACUUCAAUUCGAGAUAGAUAAGUGGCUCUGUAGCAUUCCUCUUAUUUCUAGGUGAAAAACGGGGGCAAGCAACGUUGUUAUUAGUAUACAAACAAAGGCAAAGAGAGGAGACAAGCCAAUACCGCCAGAAUAGGACAGAACUCAUAUAUGUUUAGUGACAGUUGUCACCGAGUCCAGUCCCGCAUUAUAAGAAAAAGCCGAUAUUGAUUAGUUAGUUCUUUUCCUCUACCUCGGACUCCCAUACCCAUGUACCCUCUUAUAAUACUUACUUUUCUUAUCAACCUCUCUGGAUCUUUCAACAUCCUCACACUGAACUCUCGCUUUCCAGGCAAGAAGAGUCAACUAACUGAUUCACAAAAUAUGGACUUGUUAAUGACUCGUAAUAACUACGUACUUUCGGAACCUAAAGAUAAGAGACAGUGCCAGGAAAGUCAACGUUAACUCUAUAAUAAGCGGUUCAAAAGUGUGCUUCUGUUCGACUCUUUUGCUUAAAACUAACUUAGGCUUACUCUGAGGGUGCUAAUCCUUAAUCUGUCUUUCUUUUGCUUCAAAGCUAACUAUCCCUGGAUUCUGAAACCUCCAACGACCCUUGCCUUGAUUAUGAAAACGAACAUAAGCGUUAGCGCCUAAGCUUGUUCCGUUGUUUGUUGAAUUUAUUCUUCUGCGGACCCUGAUUGAGUCUUGCUCCGGCUACUAGCUUGUUUCUGAAACAGGUUAUUAUAUUUCUUAUUAUCCCGCGCCUUUACUUGAUUCCUACCUUAAGCGCUCUGGUGGCCAUGAGAUUCGAGCUAUAUUAUCUGAGGCUUCUGGAUACUACUUAACAAGAACAGGAACUAGAUAUUCUUCGUCGGGAGCUAACACUGCUGAUUCUAUUUAUUCUGAUCUUACUGACACAAUCACCUCUCUCUCUGGUUGACUUUCGACAACACCUAUCCUUUCAAACUCAAUAUUGGAUUCGUUUCCGCACAGCAGAUUCUUUCUCUUUCGUCGGUAACACAGGAACUCUCCUCACCUUUCCGCUUGCAGCUGAUUCUCUUCUUGAUGAUCUUGAAACUUUCACUCUUGUUGUCGACAGUUUAGUCUUCAGCUACCCAAUGGAAUCUAUCUUCUCUCUCACGCAUGUCAUAUAAUCUAGUGGGAAUUGAAACAGCUUGCAGCUGACUUUGGCACUCCUUACUCUCCUCUUUGACUUUCUGGGGUAGGUUCAAAAACUCCAUUUUAUUAUUCCGACCUAGACAUUACUCGAACAGCAUUAGCUUCAGAGAGAAAACUGCUAAUCCUUCUUUCUGUUGCUUUAAGAAUAGAAACUACAGGAAUGAAAACGGUAAGUAGGGAAUUGCCCUAGAAACUUCCUAUCGCGCAAGGUGACCUUGACCCAGGAGCUGUACUUAAAGGGAUUCUACUCCUAAUGAAGGGGAUUCCACUACUAAUGAAGGGUAUUCCACAACAAAUGAGGGGAAGAUGGAACUUUCUCUGUCCUGUGAUGCCGAGGUAAGAAGGAGUCCCUGCCGCUCUAUCUCUUGUGCAUGAUAUUUCUUGUGCAUGAUAUAUAGAAUGUUGCAUAGAAUCCGCUCCGCUAGGACUUAUUUGUCGAUAGCCAUCACUGCCAGGCAAUAGUAAAAGCACUCAGACCAGGCCCAGCCCUUCCACGUAGGUCCACUGGGCUUUGGAUCUUACUUGAAACAAGCACUCCUGGCUCGGCUCUGUCAACUAAUACAGAUGCCACUGGGGAUUCAGAUUAGAAGAACAAGAGGAGAGGAAAGAAACUACCGGUUCUAUCCAGUAGGAAAGUGAGAAUAGAAUAGAAGAAUAUGGAUAGAUCUCGACAGGAAUAUGGAUAGAUCUCGACAAUAGAGGAAUAGGGAUGGAUGGAUCUCGACAGGAGCAGGAUAUACGCCGACCCUCCUUAACAGCACUUAAGUCAACCUGACUACCCCACCAGCUACUUGAAUAUGUUUAGUUCUACUUGCGGUAACUUCAUCUUGGCCACCCAUUUAUGGAAUUAGUCGUUUCUUCUGCCCUGAACCAACUCACUACUCGGUAUUCCACUUCACUCAAACAGGCUCUUUUCACUCCACUCGCCCUUACUUAUUAAGGCUGCUUGUUGAACUACCUGCAGCUUUAUCUGAAUUAUGGUAUGAAUGAGGUCUUGUCCCCUUGCCUUUGAACUAGCUUCUGCCCCCACUUCUCCUCUGGCAAAGGGAAACAAUUCGAUACUUCCCGAACAAAGAAAGGCUACUUACAACAAUUAUCUACUAUUAUAUCCACCCCACCCCAGUUACUGGCAAUUCUAUACUAUUAUAUGAUUCUUAUAAUAUGAUUCUUAUAGUAAGGAGUAAGAGUGGAAUUAUACCAAUGCUUAGUCUUUGUUAUUCUUAUUCGUUGUCUUAGUGAGUAUUUGUUAAAGUUCCCUUAUGAUUUGACCAUUGAAUUGAACUCCUAACCUGUGUGCUACCUUUCUAUCUCAUCCCUUAGUAGGUAAGUUACCGGAUUGGAUUCCAUCUUACCUGGCUAAUUCAUGCUAAUUCAUCUAAUUCUUCCGAGUGUAGUUGCUAAGGUUAGCUUGUUUCCUCUCUGUGCCUUUGUCUGCUUGUCGACUUACUUGUCGGAUCGGGUACUAUUGCUACAGGGGUUCCGCGCCAAUAAUACUUGUAUGCCAGGUAUGCCUGCUUGGCCUGUUGACUGUGUUGUAGGUUAAUAAAUCUCUGUUUAGUGUAAGUGGAAUUGAAUGAGAAAAGGCCCUGCCCUACUUAUCGGUAAAUGUUUGUUCUAAAGUGACUUAGGAUAUCCCUCCAUGGCCCAUCUACAACUACAGAGUGAAAGUCAAGAGAAGAGAUGCUGUGAGAGUUGAAUACCUUUAGUGGAAUCCUUUAUCCUCUCUAAAGAGAAGAAAGAAUAGCGAGUUAUGACCAAGUAUUGUUUAUUAGUAGAAAAUGCCCUCAAUUGUGCCAGAGAUCUGUAUAGGAGUUAAUUAGUGGCGCGGUAGAGUUAAAGCAUUUGAAACAAGGAAUGAAACCCUUUAUGAUAACAGCCUCGGACUGCUCUUGGAGACUUCACUCGAUCUGCCAUUAAGUCUAUUUAUUGUAUAUGCUUGGCCCUUUUGACUAAUGAACAAUGGCCUAGAGUUAUACUCCACUUGAACUCUACUUUAGCAGAAUAUAAGUAAUGCCCGAUGCUGUGAAAAAGAACACCUUUGAAAGUUUGAUAGGAGUCACAGAGAAAGAUGACGGAAAACUAGAGCUAUCCUGGGCUUUAAGACCCUAGCCCGUCGAGCCUCUUUCAUACCAGUGUUUUGGUUUCCACCCAUACCAUAUAGGGGACAUUCAUCCAUAAAUGAAGAGAAGGGUGCAUCAUCUAUUCUAUAUAUAAUAUACACAAUAAACCACAUGUCGACACUUGAAUUGGAAGGUCGUUAGACGCAUUCAUUCUCAAGGAUCCAUACGCGACAUCAUGAAAAGGGUAUUGGAAUACGGGAUGGAUAGGCGGUUUUUUCUUAUGCUCGGCCAGGUUACUGAGACGAAUAAAAGGUUAGACCAUUAACGGAGUGUUACUCGCCCCCUUAGCUUCCAAGCCUAACCAUAUCCUGGCUUGAACUCUGAACUAGCGUAUCUCAUUCUUUGACUCCUCCGAUUCAGUCCAUCCCUACUAGUUCGAAAACGAAACUCCUUUUGAUUGAAGUCUACCUUGCCCUUAGAACCCUGUUACUCCUGACUUUUCUUCUUUCGCUAUUACACUACGGAUGAGACUUGAACAACAGCCAACAAGGUGCUUCAAGCCUAGUGCUUUGAACUCUGUAGCUCCUGAUCUCAAAGCUGCCUUUCUUUGCUUUUAGUCUAACAUUCCUCGCUUCCAAAAUCCGAUAUCCCUGUCUCUUGUUCUCCAAACAUUGCUAACAGGGCUUUCACUGCCGCUUCUAAUAAUGCAACAACAGGGCAUAAGGCUGUGACACUACCCCCCUAAGAAUAGAACUAUCACCGAGAAGACCUUAGCUCGGAACUAAUUCUCUAAACACGGAUUCGGAUCCGCGCCUAUUAGUCUGAACUUGACUAUUAUUUGAAUUAGACUUAGCUGCCCAAGCCUUAUUAUCUGCAUCGCUGUCCACUCCUAGAGAUUAGCUUGAAACUCCCUCUCCCUUACCUGAUUCCAGCAUUCCUUACUUUGAGUCUUACCGUCCUGCCCCCUAUUCUUUGACUUACUUAUUCCAUUAUGUAUGUUCGAGUUAGGGUCUGCCUUCCUUACAUCUAAAUUGGACUUGCCCGUUUGUCACUCUGACUUUCCUUGCCUCCAAAACUCAUACUAAUGCUAACUGGACUGAAACUAAAAACUAGCUCUCUAGGGCAUUAGAGCGAUAACAAACCUAGUAAUAAACAAGACACAGGUGCCCACGACUGCACGACAGAUAGAAUAGCAGUAUAUAAAAUAGGGCUGGAAUCACUACUUAUUAAUUAUAUUGAUACUAUAAACAAGGAAUGGAGCUACUAAGUAUAAGAUCAAAGCUGUGCGCUGAGGAAUAGAAGAACCACCUAAAAGACUAUAUAUAACCACUGACAACAAUGCUGAAACGAAAAACGAGGACUCCCGUUACUUACUUCGAACCUUGCUUCCCCGCCCAUUGGUCUUUAUCCCCUGGCUGUGAGUCUGCUCUUACUUUGCUCAAACCUGAUUCGGGUGCUUUCCAAACUACUAGGCUAACUACCUGCCCCGCGCUCUCACUCUCAAUACCUUUACUUUGAGUCUGACUUGUGAGUUAACUUCUCAUCCCCAGCGCCCAGGCUUCAUUGUUCAAUUACUUAUUCCUAGUUGUGAGUUUAGUUCGAUGCCCUCUCCUGUUAAAGUCAUAGAAGCCGAACACAGGACUUGUUUCUAACUAGAACAGAAUAAUGCCUAAUUGAACUAACAUCUUGCUUAGCGGUCUUCUAACCAAUCAGACUUACUUGCACUUACAUCCGAGUCUAACUCUCCUCCUAGAGUAGGGAAAGAGCUCCUUCUUUUCAUACUUCAACUAAGACCCUGGGCUUUCACUACUUACAACCCCCACAAGGCUUUCACUUCUACUAUAAAGAAUCAAAUAGUUCACGGCAAUACAUUAUCCUACAAUAAGGACAUUAACGGCACAAAAGCAAGACCCACACAAACAAGACUUGAGCUGUAACCAAGGUAACCAACUACGGAUUUGAAAGCUGUCCUUGCUCGCUUUCAGGCACCAAGUUCCUACUAGGCAAGACCUUAACUCAUAAAUCAAAUAGGAAAGAAACUACCAAUGAAAAGAAAUCCGCUACUACAGAAAGGAAUGAAACCACUGCCAGUAAGACCCAUAUUGCUAUUAACAAGACUCACCCCCCGCACAAACAGCUGGGAACCCAACAACUUACUUUGUUUCUGUAGCCAUUGAUCCGGAUCCUAUGCUCGACUAUUAGUAGUUCUCUCUUGCCUUUCCACUCUGAAACUCAAGGUAAAGUUACGAUAUGAUAGCGCAUCUAACAAUUGAACUAUAGAAAGGGAAUCCAAACACUGGUACCGAGCCCGCCUCUCCUUUAUCGCAUCUUUGCUUCCUAGUUAAAGAGUAGCCACCUAUUUAAUACAGGCUGAACCUAAUGCUAUCAAGGCUUUAUUCCUAUAGUAGGUAUCCAAUCUAUGAAGUAAGAAAGACAACUACUAGUAGGUUUCCAAUCUAUGAAGUAAGAAAGACAACUUACUACUAUUAGAAUGGAUGGAGCUGGUGAAAACAAGGCUUUGUUACGAGGUCCAAUACUACCAACCUAUACUAGUUCUUUCCAUGCCUAUGGGACGGUGUUCCAUUUAUAGGAUUUCAUUCCUUUCUUUAAGGCUACUUCUCCUACUUCUAAUACAGGAAAUAGGAACUCACUUCUCGACAACACACCUCUUAUUCCCGAACUCCCCUCUCAAGGAUGAAACUAUAGCAACAGAGCCCAACUCAAUAGUCAGAGACUCUAUAACCAAUAACAACAAGACCUAUGCUCUAAACUAGGGCCUAAGCGCCCGGUUCUCGUUCUGUAGUUACCGAUCCCAGAUCUUGAGUUCUUUAGCGCGCCAACCCUAUUACUCGUAGGUUUAGUUUGACUCCGCCUUUACAGUAUCUUAGCCUGCGACUAUUUACCUUGAUUCUCUUACAGCUCCCUGGCAUCCUUACUUGUUAGUUAGAGUCUGGCACUAUUGUCUCGUAGUCUUAGGCUCAUAGCACCUCAAUCCCUAUGUUCCAGCUCCAGUCUUACAACUCUUUCUCUCAUUCUGAAACUACUGAGAAACUCAAUCUGACUUUUGAUUAGGGUUUUUCUUCUUACCCGCGCCAACUGCCAAGCCGAGUUUGAUUGACUCAUUCCCUCACUCCUAAUUCUGUUACUUGCCCCUUCCAUUCCCAUGUGCGAGGUGAACUCUUUAACUCCCUUCAGAAAGUCUGGCUAUCCUUCUUUCAUCCCUAUUGGUUAAGUAGCAUACCUAUUUGAAGUAUCCCUCUUAGUAUUAUUAGUAAGAAACCCUAUUCUUAGUAUUAGUUAAGUCACUUCGUUCGUAUCCAAUCCAAGUAAGGUCAGGGUACCCGGGCAUAGCAAUUGAACUCAAAUAAAUAGUAUAGACUUGUGCAGGUAGCAAAGUAGUAGUUGUUACUCAUAUCUAGUGGUUGCACGCCGUUGCUUGUCAGAUGCAAAAGAGUCAAAGUGCUCCACAAAAUGAAAUACCAAACAAAGUCAGUUAAGAAUCAAACGAGUAAUCUAGUAGUAAUAAAUAGGAAAUAGUUAACUAAUAAAUAAAUAGAAAAGCGAAGCGGGAACGGGAAGUUUUGUUUCAACUCGAGUUGGGGCAAGAAGAUAGCUUAGUUAUGGGAAAAUGGUACCGCCCCAACGGAAUUCGCAUAAAUAGAAAUGGGACUUGCUCUUAAAGUGACCUACACCUUGGGCGACUCUCUUCUAUAACGGAUGCACUUACCUUCUAUUCUUUUAUUGAUUUACUCACCUCUUCUCCUGUUUCAAGCUCCUUGAUCUCAGCCCCGUAUUAGUUGUCAUUUGUGCCUCUCAUUCUUAUGUGCGAUUGUUAGCCCAAUAAACAUAACUCACUAUGAUUCCCAAUACACACAGAACUCAUUACUCUUCUUAAAACACACAACUCGUAUUAACCCACUACCGACAAGACCUACACUCGAGCCUAGGAAUCAAACACUGACAUAACGAAGUACUAAUAAGAAUCCCAACUCAAAAGUCAGGACUCGAUCAAAGAAUGUAAGGCGGGCUAACAUAACAGAUGAAAUAAAGAUGUGAGGUCAGCAGUGGCAGUAGAGAAGUAAUAAGUAAAGACAGGCAUUGAUAGCGGGGAGUCUCAGAAUGAUAUUUCCGUUAAGAGCGUAGAAUGGUUGUUAGGAGCUCCGGACUAACCCACUCUAUCAGUAGACUAAAGUAUGCAAGGGGAGUUGAAAGCAUAGAUACAUAAUUGAAGUAAGGGAGCAGGAGAAGAAUAAGAGCUUGAUAUAUAAAGGCCGCGGCAGGCUUUAAGAUAUCGUAGUGAUAGACUUAAAACACAGAGUUAUGGACUGAAUGCGAGUAAGGAAUAUAAGAGUUAGGUGCAUCCUUACUUGUAAGCUCGAGCCCACCCCUCCUAUCUUAGCUCUAAUACUGAAAUGACUUACUUGUAUUCUUUUAGUUGUUCCUGGCAUUCUUGUCUCUCAAACUGAAGCACUGGGACCUAAAUCUUGCUUGUAGGUUGGAGUCUCCCACUUUGUUUAAGCAGUGCCUACCCCUAGAGGAGUUCCUUAUUUCCCACCUGGAGAGUCUUAUACCACUUAGUUUCAUUAUGAGUUGACUAUCCGACAAGACACUAAUAAUGUAGCGCAUCAGUAACAACCCCCUUAACAACUCUGACUUAUUAAUUGAAUUACUACUUAUGGCAUAAAGCCUUUACCCUGCUGUUUUCAUUCUUAUUUGGAAUCUCACAACCUCUGAUCUAAGGGUGCUCCCUACUAGACUCAAAUUCGUAUUAUGAUUUCUCAUACCCAGGCCCAUAAAACAAGACCAUUUUGACCCUAUCCCUUAUUUAGAGCUUCUGCGAACUAGACUAUCCUUCUGAUGUUUCUUCUCCUAACCUACUAGAGCUUAUUCCCCUUACCAACCUACAGUAAACGUAUCUACUUACUGUUUGCCUAAAGGAAACGUAUCUACGCAAAAUCGACUACUUAACUCGACAAUCCACAGGCUAUUCUCCACUACAACACUCAAUGGGAACAGGCUAUUCUCCACUGGAUCAAAUGAGUAACCAACCCAGAGUGCCUCUUAGAUGAAAGUAAGAAUGAGAACUCCAAAAAGGCUAAGGCACACCUUAUGCAUUGAAGACUUUCACUCAAAAAGAGGAAAGAAUGACGACCCGACCACGCCUACAAUAGAGAAAUUGCACUAAUUAAGUAGCAGACCCAAGCCCUCUUCUCGCUAGCCCAGCCUUGUUGUCCACUGCACUCUUACUGUUGUCCCUUCAAUACCUAUGCUGUGAUGAGAGCCUUAGACUACUCUGUUCCAUUCUUUGACUUGCUUCUUUCAGUCCAACCACUGCUAAUUGUAAAAGGACAAAGGCUAACUGAAAACUCCUUAUUUGCCAUUGGAUUUAUACCAACUCCCCACUUGUAAGGUUUGGUUGGAUGCCUUUUAUCUCAACUCUAUGCUUAGUUAUAGAGUGAUAGCGAAGAGAGGCACGUUUGUAACUAUAAUCUAAGAUAAUCUCUAAUAAGGAAUAGGCCCUCCUACGGGGGAGAAUCAUUCAAUGCUAGGGACCGGUGGGAUAAGGGUAAGUCGGAAUAAGAGAGCACUCAUCUUGGGCAUUCCAUUCUGUCCAUCAAUCCUUGUAUACUCGAUCUUGUCUUCUUUAUUUCCCUCAAAGAAUCCUCUUAUACCCUGAUAGAGAGUAUGCGUUUUGUUAUACCCUGAUGGAGAGUAUGCGUAUUGAGAAAAAGAGACUUUCAACCCUGCAAUCCCGCUCAGCCUUUACCUGCACCCUGUACUCCAGCUAAGCUAUCGGUACUGCUACCCCAAAUCCACCACAUUAUUGACUGAACCAUGGUAGUACUUAUGCUAUAGGGACCCAAAACUUCUACUACAUUCUUUCCCUUAACCCUACAAAACCCUAACAACUGUAAUGAAUAACCCGUGAUAGACUCAAAACAUUCUUCAUAAACCAGUAGGAAAAGAGGAUUAUUACAGUAAUGUACUGUACACAUUAUGUCACUUAUUAACUUGACUCUUGUAACUCACGUAAGCACAAUUCAGAACUAAUACGAAAGAAAAGAACGAAACUCCAUAGAUGAGAUUAAUAAGUUGAAGAGAUAUAUACACAACAUAUAGAAAAGCGUAAAAACACAGCUCAAAGUGGAAGUGUUGUUACUUAAUUAUAGAAUUCUUCACUACAAUUCGAUUCUCUGUUUGUUGUGAGAUCUUAAGAAACUUCUCCCAAGAUAUACAACCAUUAUGGAAACGUACAAUAGGUAUAAAGAUUACGCUAAUCCAUAUUUAUGAGAUAUGCUAGGCUACAUGUUAUGAUUUGCGACAAGAAGGAUACUGCCCAAAGACCAUAUUCAGUAACAGCCUAUUCUAUGGAGCGUAGAUCAUAUGAUUCAAUCUUUUUCUCUGUCUGGCAGUCGGUCGCUCUAGAAUCUACUUAGUGAAGCUAGCCUAUUAGCAUUGAAUGAAAAUAGAACGAACUAGAGCUUUAGCGGAAGCGUGAAAUAGAAGCAGCAAGAGAGUGACUUGACUUUCUAAGAGCAGGGAUCACCAUCUAUCUAUUAUUCUAUUUCAGAAACAAUAAGAAAGACAGACGGCCAAACUUCAUCACCAAAGGAAGGAAAGGAAGAGCCAAUUAUCAUGUGGCUACCCAACUAAAGAAAGAAGGAUUGAUAAUAACCAAAAAAGCGAGGAGAGCGGUCUACAAGAGUCAGCGUAAUUCACUCAAGUCUUUCUUGUAAGUGGAAAACCAAAGGAUGCUUGCCUACCAAAGAACGCAUGGAUAAGUGGGCGAGCAAGCUAAGCCCCACGUUUAGAAAGAAUAGAAAGAAGAGUGGGUAGUACCGGAGUAGUAGAUACCAAAAUGAUUCUUGAGCAGCGCUGGGAGAAGUCAAGGCAAACAUCAACACUUUUUCUUAAUCAAGAUGGAAUCAGAAUCUAUUGAAUAGUAAAGGUUUCCAAUGAGCACGGAUGAGGCGAAGCUGCGAUCCCUAAGGUAAGCGCCCUGAGACCAAGCAAUCAGAGUCUAUGUCUUGGUAACCCGGAUGAAGAGAUAGUGGAAUUUAGGGACCUCGACUUUACGUACCUCUGUAGUCUUAAGAGAAAGUCAUACACGAUGUCUCACCGUUGAGAAAGUCAUACACGAUGUCUCACCGUUGGAGGAUUUUGUAAAAGGAUUUAGGGCUAACGCCCGAAGCCCAUAGAGAGAGAGAGAGUCAAAAGCCUAUAGCACUGCUGGAAGACCAAGGUAUCGAUCGACAGAUCUAGACCGUCAAUAUUGGAUUAUACGGCCAAUGCUUCUAAAUGAAAAGAACAAUGAAACCAUGUUUCCUGGGUAAGCGCCCUAGCCUUGUUUCAAGGGGCUUGCUUUACGAACUUCAAACUACUAUUAUAUAUAAGAAUUAGAUAAUCGAAUUAAUAGUUCGCGCUCUCUGUCUGUGGCUUGCUUGAAACUCUCUUGCUAUUCUCCAUUGAUGAAACCUCCUCCUUGCUUUGUUGCUGGCUUGAAUAGUGUUUUUCAAAGAAGUCGCUUUCUGCUUUACACUUGGGUUGGUAGGUAGUUCUGGAAGCCAGUAGCACUGGUCUAUGGGUCUUAAAUAGAAGGGAGUUAGUAAAGCCUACAGUUCGAAUACCGCGGUUAGUCAGUACGGCAAGUAUAAAGGCAAAGAAGUCAGCUAGGCGAUUACCUUAUGUCAUAGGAAGUAGGCACCAGUUCAGGUAGUGGUUACUGUCAGACAGCUUUGAAAAGAGAACAACGGGGGAUUGCUUCAUUCUUUUUUGUAGUAGUUGGCUUAGAGAGUCGCUUUGCUUAUAGGCUUUGCUUAGAGAAUCCAUCCGGCUAUCCACUGGCCUAAUCCAUGUUCUUUUUAGGCCCAUUACGGGUUAACUCCUAAAUAAGGGAUCAUACCCACGAAUUCCUUCUAUUGGGUCUAUCGCACUGGGAAUUCGAAAUAGCGCAUAGAAGAAUUUCAAGCAGAUGUGGCAUUUCUUAUACUAUACGAUACCACCUGCGGGCGAUUCCGUAUUAGGAAUGCGGAGCCUAGAUUCAGUAAGUUGGGUAUUUGAAAGCAAGGAGCUGAAAGCCAGCGCUUCUUUCGUAAGUGCUCUUGGUGUCCGGUUGUUAGAGUUGUAGUAUACGCCCUUGGAGGAGUUACUGGUCUUACCAUUUUUCGCCGGUCUUUCUGGUGAGUUCAAAAGAGCUCUUGUCGUAUCCGCCCUUGGUGUUAUGGAAGUUAUUGGUGUUAGAGUUUUGGGUCUUCAAUUAGGUCUUUCAGAGCCUCAACGCAUCCGCUCUUCAAUCAUCCGCUGCUAAUGGUCUUGUUGUCGCAGCUUUACUAACAAUAGCUUCUUUCUUUCUGUUGGCAAUGGAAGAAACUCUGACUGCUCGAGUCGCUUGAUACGUAACUUCUUGCUGAGUGAAUCAUCUGAAUCCUAUAAUAAGAUGGCAUCAAAUGCAAGAGGGAAUGGAAUACCACUGUGAGGGAGGUUAAGGCAAGUUAAUCAUCUGAAUCGUCGGAAUACUAGCCGAAAGUCUGACGCUCUUAUGCUUCGGUUAGUGCUGGGCUAAGUCCCUUCCGUCCGUCCCUAGUCAGUAUUCGUGCUCCCAUUUCCCCUUGGACAGCGAAAGAGAGAGUGACCGCAGACAGGCGACUUUCUAUAAAGAUAAAGAAGAGAAAGGCUUACCAAACCACUUCUGCGUAGCAUUACGACCUACGGGCAAGUCGUUCUAUGUCUAUGAAAGAAAUGCUUUCGGGACAAGAAGAAAGAAAGGAAAGCUGGGACGAAUGACUGACUGACUGAGUGAAAGAAAAACGAGAAGGCAAGCAUGGAGACCAAGCACUCUAGCAAGCAUGGAGACCAAGCACUCUACUCAGCGCUUUCCCUAGGCUAUGAAAGACGCGGAACUAAACACAUUCUAAAGAAAACGGCACACACUCCUGACCACUAAACUAUCCAACAUGGGAGAUUCGCUUACACAAGGAAAGAACUCUGAACCUUGCUUAAGCGUCAUAAACUCCACUAAUAUAAAUGCUUUCCAAAUGCCCCCCAACUAGCACUUUUUACCCAGGAAAGAGAGAAGCAACUUGAAAUGCCACUCAAGACAAGAGAAGAGGCUUAGCUUGGAAAUCCAAUAAGAAAAGUGAGACCCAUACUCCCGCUCCAUCAACAAACAGGCCUCCCAAAGAGAGCGACAGGUAGGGAAAAAGAUUGGAUAUAGAGUAGAAGGCAGAAAGAAUCCAAAGUGGAAUAUGACACUCUGAUAAUCCCAAGAGAGUCAAGAUCUUAUAGCCAGAGUAUCAAAGUAUGGUCUGUAAGGGAUAAGUGCCACUCCUCAUGAAACAGUAUUAAUGGUAGAAGAAACGGAAACUUCCAUUGCGGGAUUCUAAAAGCAAAAGCACAGACCCAUAAAAGACAUAGUCUAUAUAUACGACUUAUUCAAGACCCAGCCCCACAGGAAGAACGGAAACUCGAACAACAGGCAAUUCCACAGCUGACAAUGCUAGAACUUAACGUCACUUUCUUACCCUACAACUGAAUCAUAAGUGGAAGUUGGAAGAGCAGGAGAAGAGGCUUUAUUGGAAUAUCCAUCUUAUCGAGCACCUGGCAUAGGCUUUUUCAAAUACCCACCUUCCCCCUUCUUUCAAACUCAGUUAGCGCAGAGGAAAGAAGGCAAUUCAUAAAGGUGUUCGUUCCCGCUUAAGAAGGCUUCUUUUGCAUCGCGGGGAACCGUACCUUUUGUGGAAUCUAUUUCCACUCAGAAACUGUCCAACUCAUUAAUUUGACACCUUACAACUUGACUUGUUCCGUCUCUUAACUAACUCUAUUCUAUACAAACAGCUAACAGCUUCUCUUAUGUCACUCUUAAAGCAACGGGAAGAAACAACUCGGAGUGCCUGCCUCAAUGAGAAAUUCCAUUCAAGUAAACAGAACAAGCAAAGGGUAUAGACCGUCUUAAGUAAGAGUAGGAACAGAUACAGUUAUCAAGGAAGAUUUCUUAGUUGGCGACGAAGCUAUAAGGGAAGGUUAAGGCGAAAGUCAACCUGAGAGAUAGGUUCGGGAAUCCGUCCUGUUGUCGUUCUUUGAGUUGUCUUAAAGCAGGGUUUCGCCGUCAGACCGAGUCAAGUUACCGAUCAAACCUUUGAUAUACUUCUAAGCAUACGCCGGGGUCGAGAGAAGUCGCUUUUCGUUUGGAAUUUCUUGGAUGCUUGCUUCUGGCUGGCUUGAUCACAGACUAGAUUAGGAUUUCUCACAUGCUUUAAAACAGAUUGCUUUCACUAGCCCGAUCCCUCUGAUCUUAUUUAUGUCAAGCUAAUUGAGUUAGGUAAGAUGUGAUCACAAGGAAUAACACUAUUAGGACUACUGCGACUUUGUGACAAAUACUUAGAUUUCAAGACCUUCAGACAAUCUGGCGGGGCGCCUUUAGCGCUACUAACUACUAAGCUUGGCCCCGCUUACUGCUAAACUGUUCACUUAAAGGUACAGCACUGAGGUAAAUCCUCUAGCUUUAGGAGAGACUCGCAAUUCCCACUUUCCAUUCCAUUCUGAAAUUCUUCACUGGAGAGCGCCAACAAAGACAGCUCGGACUGCUGAUUCAUAUGAUGUUGUCGACUUUCCUUCUCCUGGGACUGCUGAUUCAUAUGAUGUUGUCGACUUUCCUUCUUUCACUUGCACAGAAGCUUCAUCGGGAGUAGGAGAUCAUAACUGGGUAUCACGCAAGUUGUUCUACAAGCUCCGUUGAGUCAACCAGAGAAAGAUCUAAAGCUGGAUCUGAGGCUUGCUUUAGAAGGUGAGUAAGCAAUAGAUUCUUAAAGCUAGUUCUGGUGGGCAACAUUAUAGAUUCGUGAUUUCUCUUUCUUUUUCUUGAGAACAUUGAUCUGCUCCUAGGUGGCAUUAUCUUCUAUUCUUUAGAGUUCCUAAGUGUGAAAGCAAGGGUUCCAAGUAAAGUAUCUAAUCUGGUAGAUGCUUAAAGAAGUGGAGAGUAAAUGAGCUAAAAGCGCGUCAUUGAAUAGUUGCCCUUAAGUAAUUGGCCGCGGCAGGAGCGGAGCGGUUCAACACCGGCAGGCGGAUCCACAGAUUGCUUUCUUUUCUCACUUGCUUGACUUUAGCGCUUAUAGCCACUUUGACCGGUGUGUGAAGGAACUUCUUGCACAUGAUCUGAAAUACCACUGGAAAGUUCAUAUGAAACUCAAAGAAUAAGCUAGCGUUGCACCUCUGGUUCCACCGAACCACUAAUCAUUUAGUCCUCUGAUUCCAUCUUCCAAAUCUACAUAUAAGGCUUAGAGAAUAGUUCUUCAAGCAAAAAGAGAAAGAGCUAUUUCUUAUGCCACCUGAAGCAUUCCCGUAAUCAGUCCAGUCCAAUAAAAAGAAUAUAGUCAAAGGGAAACCAGUGCAUCCCUGUGCCCAAAGCGGGGCGUAGACAGAGAUAAGUAAAUGGGGGAUGUAGCUUGCUUGGUAGGUAGCCAAAGAAAGGUUGGUUCUGGAACUUAUCUCCCGCUUCAAUCCCUUAGAAAGUAGUUUCACCCUAUCCUUAUUGCCCUUACUAGAUUCUAGCCAGCUUCACUUAUACUUAACUUAUCCUUAUGAAGUGUGUUUCUACAUUAGCCGAGUUCCUUACUACUUUCUUUCUUGCCCUAUUGGAUCAGAUGAACCAUCAAGUUAAGAAGCAGCUUUUUCAAUACCACUGAUCUUUUUGAAAUUACAUCUUCUAAUAAGAACAGAUAAUUUGAUAGGACUUGUCGGAUACAAUACUCGAACUCAUUCUUUUCUUUAUACAGCUUCCUCCACCUAACACUUAUCCUUAUCCCGCUUCGGCUUCUUAUCAAGUGGAUUAGACUACCCUACCCUUACUUGCCAUUCAUUCUUAUCGCCAACACCAACAGAUUCCGAAAAUGAAAAUAUGGGACCCGGCCCGGACUGCCGGUGCAAUUCAUGGGAACCAAACAUCUUUGUGGGUUACCUUGCCGACCUCAACUCGCCUGGUAUACUUGUGGAAGUAUGGCCUGUGAACCUCUUAGCCUGGCUUUCUCUAUGUUUCUUGGCAUUUAUACUUCUGUCUUAGUAGUUUCUCCCCUCCUUAUGCCAUAACCCAAAACUCCGAGAGAGACACUGCCUUGCUUCCUUGACCAUCUUGCAAAGCUGGAAUUAUCGGCAAUAACUCCUCCCCGGCUUGGCACACUCAACCGCUACUCGCCGGCGACUCUAUAUCUAUAAAGAUAGAAGGAUUUCGCCUGCCACUCUACCUAGCUAACCCGAGCGGAUGAGCAUCUCUUUCUGGAAAGGAUUCCACAAGUGAUUCAACAUCUGUCGGGGGGGAAUCGACCUACUUUUUCAGAUGAUUUGUGGACGGAUGGCCAAUGGGCAAUGCCGUUACCAAUUCAACCGAUUGAGAGAGAUAGGCCAGGCCCAUGCUUUGCUUUCCUUAGUUUUGAUUUCUAUAAGCGUUUCCCUUGAAAGCGCUACAAUGGCAGGUUCUGAAAUACAUGAAAAUGGAUGAAUGUGAACGAUAUCCCAUACGGAGCAGGAAUUCCCUUUGGUUUUUUUAUGUGAUGCUUCUUAUUUAGAGUUAUUAAAAGACCAAGUUAUCCAUCCGCUUUUGAGAUUAUUUGCACUUUGGGCUUUUCUUCCUAUUGAAAAGAGUCCAGACGCAGUCCUUCACUCCCACUACUCAUCCAGAACUAUAUAAAUAAAGUGAUUCAUAGAAAUGAAAGAGCGAUUGAUUUGAUUGGACAUAUCAUAUUCUACUUGAUGGAACAUAUCAUAUUCUACUGGAUCGAUCAAGACCAGGCAGUUGAUUCAAAGCAGAGAGAAGGCGAGCCCUGAGCUAUCCUUAUAGAAAGCUGCUAAACCACUCUUCUUAGCUUCCUUUGCUGGAGUUCCUCUUCGGGCUGUUAUCUCUUGCUAUCCCUUGUUGCCCUUUGGGUGAUAUACAAAUCCCUAAAAGCUUCAAGCCAAUAAAGGAAUCUGUCCCCAAUCCUUGAGAAAAAAAGCUAGGUUCGGCUCGACCAGAGGGAUAGGAAGGGAAGCUCCUAGAAACUCAUUCCUGUCAUUUAUCCGGAUUUUAGGACAUUCUAUUGGCUCGAUCUAACUAUAAGCUAUUUAGACCCAUCCAUUCCUUCAUUCCUGAUUCCUAAGAAAUAGCAGCCUAUUCUUUCCAAAUAACCAUGGCAUGAGAUGCAUCUUCCGGUAGUCGCUAUCCUAAUUCUAAAGCAUUACAGUCCUUCUUACUUUCUACAGAUAGAGAGAAAUCCAAGCUCUUUAAGUCAGAAUCGGAUAUUGGCCUAGCUUAUUGAAGAUCGGGUUGCAGAAAGAUCCUUCUCAAUUGAUUGUGUAACUCUUUUGAACGAACUGUAAGGAAAUGUCAGUGACUUAAAAGGACUAACUAGAAUCCAUUAAUUAGGUCGGGUAUAGACUAACAGAUAAGAUAGAAGGGUAUGUAUUUAGACAAGAAAGAAGAAGUUCUCUAGCUGCCACUCCUUCUUAAACUCCUUAACUCGCGCCUAUGGCUCCUUCCCAAGGAUCCUAGCCAACUAAGCUACUAAACUCAACAACUGUAAGCUUUUAUUAGGUUAGUCAAGGUAGGAACUCUUUAGCGACGGAAUGCUAGCUCAGGCCUUUCGCUCAAAAGCUAACCCGUUCACUCCUCCUAGUAGUGUGCUUGUAAAGGAUCCCACUGCUUUAAGUAAUACCGUAGCAAUCCUUGGUAGUUUGCGCUCAAUUUGUAUUGUUCGAAGCAACGAGUGAUAACAGCUUCUUAGGUACAUUUUGAAUCAAUAGCAAAGGCAUCUGAUUCAUUAUCAUUCUUGUACUACAGCUUCGUUAUUACAUAGUAUCCUAAAAAUAAGUGGAGAUAGCCGUAGCAUAGACAUUUUCAGGGGAACCCAAAUGUUGCUUCUUUCUCUCACACUGACAGGAUUGUUUCCUUUACUCCUACUAUCAUUUAACUGUAAGUCGAGUAUCGAUGUAAUUGAGCUCGUAUUUCAAUAUCAAUAGAAUCAGAUUUUGAGCUUCACUAUAUUUGGGGGAUAUAGACUAGGAAACGACUAUUGGCUAAUGGAAGAACGGAGUCUAGCUCUAAACCAUAUGAUGAAAGAAAGCUGCAUAUCAAAUGAUUCUAAUGAUAUUCACACUCAGAAAGACCAAUAACCAAUACAAGUUUCAAGCGGAAAAGAGAUGUGGCGGUCACCGAUAGCACUCCUUUUUGAUAUCAAUCGAUUUUCUCUGUAUUUGAUUUUAUUCCACAGGGUUUCGAGGUGAAGUAUCGCCCGGCGGCCAAAAGUCCUCAAUCACUGCUGUUUAGACUUGGUAACUGUCUUGCGUCUACUGACGUAUAGGGAUGUCCAUUCCUAUUCCAUUAAGACAUUCUGAGUUUUCCUUUCCUUCCAUUAAUACACUUUCUUUUCAAUCAAAAGCGUAGGCGUUAGGGGGGGAUGGGAUCUCUGCUCAAUUAGUCCCAUUAAUCACGGCCUAUCUUAUUCCAUUAUAGAAUUCCCGAGUAGCGUACUCACUGGGAAGCUUACUUUCGUCUUGAACGAUGAAAAAGAGCUAUGUCCCUUAACCUUUGGAUUCUCUUUCUCUUCCGGCUAAGGGGACUGAAGGUAACUCGUAUGAAAAGUAGAGUGGGAGAGGCAGCGUUGAGCUCGGUACUUUUUCGGAGUCUCGGGGUUACCUCUUCUUUUUCCAUAUCAAUUGGUAAUCGACUUAUAGAGCUGGCUUUUUUCUAUGAAUAAAAGUCAUCGAAAUCUUUAGUAAUGAUCACAUUGGGCGCUAUAAGCCAAGCCGCCUAUAACACAGGUUCGCAGCCCUCGGAGUGGAAGCAUAAACUCUCGAAUCAGAAUAGUAUGGGGCGGAUUCCAACCUUCCUCUCGGGUGAGUAGAACCACAAAUGGAUUGCCGGCCUUUCUUUACCUAACGAGUGCUCACACUCUUACAAAUCUUGGAAAAGGGCCAAGCAACUACUGUUGCGACCAAGCGACGGGACAAGCACCUACGACAAAUCCCCGAUCCGGACGAAAGGUAAUAAUGACUUCCUGAUUCCCCAAAGCCAACCUCUUAUCCUUAAGCCAGGGCAAGGUAAGAAAGAAGAGAAUCAAGUCACUUCAAUCCUAUGUACUUUGAAGCUCACAGAACUCCUAUAAAGUCACUCGCUAACACACCUGCUCAAGUAAGCUAAUGCACCAGCACUCCGAAGAAUUGAAGUGAACAAGAAAGUCUAUGACAGAUUAACAACACAGAGCACUUAAGUUCAAAUCAUAUCAUAGCACCCCUAACUAACUCGCUACAACCUUUCCAGUAUAGAAAGCUUUAGCCGCCCGCUGUAGCUCAAACCGAGUACGGUAGCUCCAAGUGGUAGAGUCAGGUUUCAAGUUUGUUUGCAGUAGUUCAUAAUAAGUGUUGCUAGAAGCGUCGGCUCUAUCAGGACAGGAAAGGUGUGUGUGUGAUUAUAGCUUGAGUCAGACCACAGGUAAUAAAAGAUGUAUUGGUGCUUUACUUAUCUCCUAUCUAUAAGUAUCGGUGUUUACUUAUCUCCUAUCUAUAAGUAUCGGUGCUUGACUUGCAACUUCGUAUCCUAAAGCAUUAACCACAACAGUAAAGAGCAGUAGGGCGAGUUAGACUAGACUUAUUAUACUGUGUGCACUCCAUUCUAUUCUUUAGUUCAGUCAUAUAUAAUGUAGUUAUUCUACGAGUAUCCUUAGAGUCAGCAGUUCGUUUAGUUUAGGUUACAAAUAUGAUUCCAUAAAGGGUGCACUCAAUUCCACAAGGGUAGAUAAAUGACCUAUUGUACUAAGUGAAGCGAAAGAAGGAAGUGUUGUAAGCUGUUUUGUUACUUCUUUCUAUCAUGUGUCUACUAUACCUUUCUACUGAUAUGUCUACUUAACCUUGAGACUUAUUAACUUAACCGCGGAUUCUAUCUAGAAUGACACUUGAACAGCCCUGAGAGAAGGUGAGAAAUACGAAUUAAGAGCGGAGCAGCCUUGAAGCCUUAUUAAGGUUCGGCCAACCGUUCUCUCGCUUCUGAUUCAAUUGCAAACAAGUCCUUCGUGGCAAAGAGCCUUUUAGGUUCACACCGCUUGUUAGACUUUCCCAUCCUAUUACCAAUAAGUAUUAGACUAGAAAAUCCGAUACCCAUAAGUAGAAUAUAAGAGUUCGGUGCUUGUGUUUGGCAUAUCUUGCAGGCUUUAUUGACUUCGCCUUUCCUGUACCUGUACUUAAGCAAGAGUGAAGAAAUGAAUGAUGCAAUAAAUGGUGUAACUAUGUUAUUCUAUAACCAUAAGUAACGUAGAAACAAGCUCGUAUAGUUAAAGUCAUGUUCCUCUAUUCUAUCAUUUUUGCACUAGAUGAUUUUCUUACCAGAAAUGAGAAAUAACUGGGGCCUGGCGUUAGCUUACUCUUCGGGGGAACAGAACAAGCAACCCGGCUGGCUGAACUCCUAACGCGCUUAGCUUAAUAUACUAAGUUUGUUGCGCUUACGUGAGUGGGUGCCUCUCCUCGUUCUUAUUGUGGUUGAGUUCGGUUACUUUACCUUCAUUAUAGAAGAUUUGCACUACUAUUCCAUUCUUUAAGAGACUCUAUUAUUGUGUGGACACAUCAGAUGGAAACAAAAGGAGAGACAUGCGUAACCUCUAAUUAAGCUGCUCUCAUCAGCACCUUCCCCUCAAGACCUACUUUACCAAGAGAACACCUGCUUUUCGAAUUGCCUAACGGCGUAUACUCUAUUCUGCCUACAGACAAGUAAGUCCUAUACAAAGCUUCCAUCAUCCCGGUGAUGAAUCCAAUAUUCAAUCAAAGCGGAUUUCCCUUAGGGGGCUCCCUUCCUUUCUGCCUAUAAGAUGGUUGGAUUCUCUUAUAGUUCGAAAUACGUCUAUAAAGAAGGCUUCUCUUUUUAUUACGGCUAGCACGUUAAGGAUUUAGGGCGAGAUGUUGCUUCGCAGACCGCUCAGGGAGAUGAUGUUAAAGAGGGUUAAGAGGUGUGAGAACGCAGAUCCGCCGGGAGGAUAUGUCAGAGCGGACCCACAGAGGACGAGGCCGAUGUUGUACCUGAUGGGGCUGUUGUUGCUUUGGAAAAAGGCGUUGGUGAGCCACUUUAGUUGUUGAAGAGAAGAAGGCAGAUUCAAGUAAUCCUGGGGAGGUUCCAGUGAAGAACGGCGAAGGCACGCAGGACGCCGACUUCAAGGCUAUUGAAUGACGCGAUGUUGUAAUAGUAUGGCUCUUUCCAGGGCAGGGGGUUUACCGAGGCGAGGCCUUUUGAUGAUGCUGGGUCUUUCUCUCUAUCCCUAUAGUGGCUCAUUGCGAUUGAUGACAUUUUGCUCGGAGUCGAGCUGCUCUUUCAAAAGCUUUUUCGAUGGGCACUCUUAUACCAUUGGGUUAGCUUUCCUUAGCCUGGAAUGACUAAACGACAGUGAGCAAUGCUUUACUAUUUCUACAUAAAUGGAGAAGCUACUUACUAUUCAAUCCGUUUUCCUUUACCUGAGCCUUGACUAGAUAAGUCCGUUUACCCAUCUCAUUGUCUUGUUGUUGAUCGUUGUCCUAUUUGGUUAACCAUUUUAGCGGAAUCAGAGGCUGGCUGGAACCCCAUUAUCGAAGGAAGAUGCUUCUCCGCACCGAGCGGGGCUCCUUGUCCCAGGGCAUAUGGCAGGAUGUCUAGUCUCUUCAUUCCGGUAACACUUCCACUUUACCAAACCUCACAAGCCAAUAAGAUUGGAACUCUUGGAGCAACUUGGCUGGCAAACGGAUAUUUCUCUUGCUGCAGUUGAUCCUAGGGCCUCAAGAACUGGAAUUCCUACAUAUUAAUUAUAUUGCUAGAAGAUAGGGGCUUUUGCGGGUGCUACAGAUACUACUUUCGAAGCUAUCUCUCCGUUCCACUUCGUUGCACUAGUUCUUCUGGCCUACCAACUCUAUAACUCAUAGAAUACCUUUCUUUCCGUCUAACUCUAUUAUAGAGCCGUUAGAACUAAGUGAUACUAGGACCGAGCCGUUAGAACUAGGUGAUACUAGGACCCGCGGGCAUACUAACCUAGACCUAGGAAGUCGAGGCAUUAAGAGCUCUACAAUGGAAGUGGUGCCUAAAAGCCCAAGCAAGUCCCUUACUGCAUUCCGUAUAACAAGGGGGAAGGUGCUAUAGUUCAAGGUAUUAUUCGCUUUCUCGUACGAUAGGAACCCCGUCGCUUGGGCAUUAUGGAGUUUCGAAGCUAGCCGUCGCUUGGGCAUUAUGGAGUUUCGAAGCUAGGAUGUCUCAUUGUCCUAAUUCAUAGCGUAAGUGAAGUUCCCCUUUCGGUCGAGCUCUUUUAUAACCGCCCUCAAAAGCACCUGGAAGAGCCAACUACACUAUAAAGAGGAACCUGCGAACUACGUCUUAGGAGCGAUAUGGAAUUGUAUGCUCGCCUUUUGACUACAAUUAUAUAAACUUGAACCGGGGGGCAGCUAUAAAGCCUAUUUAUUUGCUUGCCGGGUUUAUGAAUACUAGUAGGGGAACUAGCCAUGACGGAGCUUAAACAAGAGGUUGGACUAAAGCAAGCGGAACACAAGGAAAGGACUGCGAAGAGCAACUAGUAUUAGCAAUAUCAAUCCCAAGGGAGCUGGGUCUAUUCGGGCAACAGGCGCUCUGUUUAGUUCAUUCUGCUUUCUUUAAUGAAGCCAAUGGAGUUUGUUUUCGUUUCGUAAAGUUCUUGCUUUCCAUAUUAUUUGCGUGAAAGAAAGCUCACUUGUUUGUAUCACCAUUCUUCUCUCAAUAGAAGAGGGGCUCCCGUUCACCAUUACAAUAAAUUCCAUUGAAUGAACUGUCAUUUUAGGCGAGAUUAGAAACCUUCCUUGCCGCCCCUAACUCUAAAGAAGCGCACACCAACGGAGUUAGAAAAGAGGAGAGUCAGAUCAAAUGAGAUUGGGCUAGAUUCUAUUAAUUCAAAUAGGAUGGGACUGGAUCCAGUAUGAGUUAGAGAUCGGGGCAUGUAUAGAAGCACUGAUAUCAGGGAAUGGAAUCAUCUCUGCUGGGCCUUCGUCCUUCCUUUUCAUUCUUUUGUCUUUACGGGUGGGUUUCAUGUCCGUCUUAGGAAGUGAUCUCUCUUUGCGCCAUUAUUCGAUGAUGUAGUUGCAAUUGGUCUAAGCGAGUGAAAAUCUAUUAGGAGUCCAAGCCCGGCUCAUUUAGGGAUUCCAAUAGAGUCCCCAGUUUGAUCAGUAUUUGUUAGUGACGAAGCGGGGCCAAGCAACUGGGCAAGGGAAGAAAGAGUGGAACUGCUACAUUAUAAGAGUCAAAAGAGGAGAACCAUGUGCUCUCCACACAAAAGGAAGAAUGAAACGACUUUCCCUGAGGCCAAACACAGGUUAACUCUAGACUAGUAAACAAUAUAAUCAUAAUUUGUCUACAGGGGAUGGACAGAAGAAUUGAUAGGUCGGCAAGAGAAGCAGUUAUAGCAGGGCCAGAUCGUACAGUUGUUGCUGUAGCUAAACCCUCUGCCUUUAGUUAGUAUAGUCAAGUAAUUUGUAUGGGGUUCGGAUGCCUCUAAAUCUUAUCUAUCUUAUUAAAACAAGGGAAGAGAAAGGGUGCCUCUAUACAAUACUACUGAAUCUGUUUCAUCCCGAGUUCCAGUGAGAAAGUCAGCAUAAGAAUGAGAAUGUACUGUUUGUUAUUGUUGAAUCCCGAGCUGAAGAAGUGGAAUCUGGCUUUGUUGGCGCAGCUGCAAGACGUUACGCGUAAGGAGAGGGUGUUUGUUGUUGCUUUGACUGUUUGACCAGUCUUGGGAUAAGAAGCAUAAGAUGGAAAGUAGAGUUAGGGUGUUUCAGAGGGCUGCUUUCUAGAUGCCUUUGAUGCGAAGUGUACCGAAACAGACUCAUUAGCCCGAGGUAUAAUAGAUAUGGGUAGGUAUAAUAGAUAUGCGGAACUCACCUACCCUUCCGCUCGCUAACGCCUUGAAUACUGUACUUGUUAACAACCAUUACGAGUAUCUUUAUUGAGUUUAUUUGUAGUCUUGCGUUUGUAGUAGUAGCUUGGUUAGUCGUUACUUGCCGCCUUGCCUAGUUGUUUGUUUGCUCUUAACCAAAGAAGAGGGUCACCCUUCGCGCAUUCCAUUCUGACUUCAGACCUUAUAUGAUUAAAGCUUCAAGUAAGCUGGUAGAGCAGAGCCAGUACCAUCUUCUUCCCUUUGAUUUGUCAGUUCCGACCUUUACCUUGAAGUGAGGAAUGGAAUUGAACCUAUGGAGCACCAGGAGCGGUUCAACGCCUGGGUCAAGCCAUUUUCCUCAGGAACUUUCAGAAACCUCCACUCUAGUAAAUACUCAAGUAAAGGCCGUGGGGCACGAAGACGACGAAGAGAGAAAAAGCAUACAUAUAAGGCAAGCAAGUCGCAGAUAAGAGAAGACAAGAAAGAUCAGAAGGAGCCAUGUUUUCCGGAAGAAUUGGAAGUGCACAGAGGAUUCAUCUUUCAACAGCAUUUAAGGAUGUGCACAGAGGAUUCAUCUUUCAACAGCAUUUCAGAAAUUCAGUAUUCGUUCAUUCAACGGCAUUAGCGGUCUCUUUCGGGAGCAGAGAAAAGGAAGGAUAGGCUGCUGAUAAGGUGAGACCAAUAGUCUCUUAUCUUAGAUGGCACAUAAACUGGGAACUAUCAAUUAAGGGUGAGAUCUUAUCGGGUCGGGUAAAUGGACUGAUAUAGUGAAGAAUCAAAGUAGCAACUUGGCGCCAAAAAGAGAGCGAAAGUGCAUCCAACCACUUAUAAGAAAUGGCAGAGUUCACCCCCUCCACCACUACUUAGGUUAUAAAUGAAGCUGAUCCCCACAGGUUUACUGUUUGGUAGGAUAUUUGAUUGAAGAUCCACUCUGCUGUCAACUCUAUUCUACAAAAAUAUGGGCAAAUGUGGACUCCUUGGGUUUUUCUUCUUUCGAUUCUGCAGCAAUCAAGCUCGGCGUCCGAAGGAUCUUGGCUGCUGGUAGACCUCUGAUUCUCCUGCUCAGUCAUCCUAAGCUAGUGCUCACCAAGGAAUAUCAAAGGAAAAGUCCGUCCUAUGGUCAAGAUCCAAAAUCUCCCUGUGGAAUUAUGGUCCGCUAAUGGCUGAAGCCAUGUAGCUAGUGAAGUGGGAAAGCUCUCCAUGCUUAUGUGCCUACAUCAAAUAUGAAUAUGAAAAGGAUUAGCUAUGCGCUUAAUAUGUUUGAAGUGGAUGCCUCCCAUUGGUUUUGAGGACCUUUUGCUUGUAAAUAUAAGAUAAUUCCUUUGUUACUAUGCUAGUAUAAUAUAAAGAAGACUAUGCUAGUAUAAUAUAAAGAAGAUAAUUCCUUUGUUACUAUGAUAAUCUCAAUGGAGACCUAAGCAUUGCCCUACUAUGCUAAGUUGGCACUCCCAGGUUGCCCUCGAGCUGAAGCAUCUGAAGCUAAUCAUUCAGUGGGUAAGACCUCUGCCCAAGUUGAACCAGUAACCACCAUUCCUGCAACCAGUCCUUCCAUCAAGGCUAAGGUGAAAGAUACGAAUCCAUCCACUAGUAAAGGAAAGGCGUCGAAGCAUACCACGGGAUUCAAGCAUGUAGUAUAAGAGAAGACCCUCUCUUCUAUGAAACGGUAAGCUAGUACCAUCAAUGCUCCUGGUAAAGAUUGGAGUCUCCAAAUGGAUUUCGCAGCCUGAACUCAGAUAUAUAGGAUAAAGGCAAGCAAUACAAGCAUGAGAAUGAUCAAUUGGAAGCAUAAGCCCACUUUGGUGCAAACACCUAUUGGCAGGCCCACCCCAUGGUUAGAUUCAUACUGAUGCUUUCAUUUUGAACCAGCAAGGGAUUGGUUUUUUGGUUCUCAUUCUAUUUCCAUUCAGGGACUAUUAUGUCAGCUGCCUCAAGGUUUUGAAUCGAUAGCAAUUCCUCAUAAAUAUAAUAAGCUUUGACAGUGAGAUAUGCGGUGCAGCUAGCUGGGGAGAUUGGUCUUUCAAAGGUCAUCUUGGAGACAGACUACUUUUGGACUGUAACUGCUAUUAUAUACGAUGCUCAGGGCCAAGCGUAUACUGCUAGCGGACGCAAGCGGAGUGGGACCGGACCUUCUCCGAUAGUUUCUUUCAUCAUAAUAUGUGAAAGCUUGCACGAUUGAAUACAAAGUGGAACAUACUGAACUAACAGCUUUCCUUAUAACCCAUAUAGUUAGUCGUGUGGGUGUUGAAAUUUGGACUAACCUUAGCUGUGAGUUUGCGAUACUUUUUUCCUCAUCGCUAGCCUGUUUCCAAGAGGGACAAAAUAGUGGUUGUACUUUUUCCAUUCCGUUCUUUGGUUCUUCCAUUAGUGUGUGCCAGCAAAUCAUAUAAGAAAGAAGAUAUAGUGGUGCAUUCCCCAGAAUAUAAGAAAGAAGAUAUAGUGGUGCAUUCCCCAGAGGGGGCCCAGUGAAGGUACCCAAGCUUUUCACACGGUAACUCCAAUGUCUGCCUUGAAACCAAACAGUUCCGCUAAGGUAAUGUCCCUUAUCGCUACUAUCGCUACGCCCCUUGCCUGACUUGAACUUGCCAGUUUUCUGACAACCCUAUCUUUCUCUGUUGCCCCAAUCGGCUCGGUCUGACGAGCUCUCGUAAUAGAUCGCUCCUAUGUCCAUUCCGUUUUGGCUAGCGAAGUAUGGGCUUCUAGUUCAGUUGCUUGGUUUCCGGUUGAGGGUGCUCUGGCUAAGAUGACCAUCUUGCUUCUUCUGUUGGAAAGAACGAACGAUGAAUAUGUCCAAACGAGUGUUUGUUCCAGAGCCGAAGAUUAGUACGACACGAUUGAAUCUUUUGACUUACUCGAGAAAGAAAGAACAUUCACCGAAUCAGAAGGGCUUUAUUAUUGUCUUCCUGUUUUUGGAUGCUCAAUCGGGGGCCAGAGGUCAAAGUAAUAGGAUUCGAUCCAGUGGCCAAGAGAAGAGAAGAGGGCGAACCUAGCAUCAGAAUUCGUUCUAGGAAAGGGGAAUUCUAAGAAGCAGUGGCUACUAGCAGAAGAAGGAUGCAAGCAGGAAGGCCUUUGGACAAGAUAUUCUUUCACUUGGACAGGAGAUGCAGCGCUUAGCGUCGGAAAGACCCCUAUACAUGGGUUUGCUAUCAAACUAGGAGAAGAACUUAACUAAACGGAUCAAUUCCUUUUACACUCAGCACCUAUAACAUAACUAUACCACACUUAAGGCUUAUUUCGAGGAAGUUCAACACGGUUGAGGGACACUACUACUAUUCAAAUGAAAGCUCGGAACGGGAAAGUCGCUCGCGUCAGGUAAAGUUGUUUCAUUUGAUUACCUUGGGGCUAAUAANNNNNNNNNNNNNNNNNNNNNNNNNNNNNNNNNNNNNNNNNNNNNNNNNNNNNNNNNNNNNNNNNNNNNNNNNNNNNNNNNNNNNNNNNNNNNNNNNNNNNNNNNNNNNNNNNNNNNNNNNNNNNNNNNNNNNNNNNNNNNNNNNNNNNNNNNNNNNNNNNNNNNNNNNNNNNNNNNNNNNNNNNNNNNNNNNNNNNNNNNNNNNNNNNNNNNNNNNNNNNNNNNNNNNNNNNNNNNNNNNNNNNNNNNNNNNNNNNNNNNNNNNNNNNNNNNNNNNNNNNNNNNNNNNNNNNNNNNNNNNNNNNNNNNNNNNNNNNNNNNNNNNNNNNNNNNNNNNNNNNNNNNNNNNNNNNNNNNNNNNNNNNNNNNNNNNNNNNNNNNNNNNNNNNNNNNNNNNNNNNNNNNNNNNNNNNNNNNNNNNNNNNNNNNNNNNNNNNNNNNNNNNNNNNUUUGUAAAGUAGAAAGUGUAGUUGAUAGAUGGAGGGGCAUAGAAUUGGGUAACUAAAGAGAUAGGAGUAGUUGGUAACCACAUAGAUAGGAGUAGUUGGUAACCACAUAGAUAGGUAGCUUUCCGAGUUUCCCUUAGCCUGAUUGCCUUUAGCCCAAGUUGUCUUAUAGAGAAAAGCAGAGAAAAUCCAUUCCAUCUUUAGAGUAGUUGUCGUGCAGUGCAGAUGAAAUAGUUCUUUUCUUGUGCAGGCAGGAUGAAAUGAAACAAGGCGUUCUGUAACAGUUCAGUCAAAUGUUGCAAUGCGGGAGAUAGAAACUGCUUGAUCCAAUUCCUCGGGACUCGGCGCUAGAGAUAGAUUCAAUGAUGACUUUCGAGGUUAGGAGUAUUGAGAAGAAACAGUAUCUGGGAUCAGGAGUAGGAAAUAGAUAAGUUGUUGUUCGAGCAAAGGAGACAAGAGAAGAAUCCGUUAGAGUUUUGUCUCCGAGAUAAUAUGCUUGAGAAAGUCAGUAAGCAGUACCAAAGGAAGCAGCAAGUGGAAAGUCGAAUUCCGUUAUUGGUGUUAGUGCUUCUGCUUCAGUUAUUGCCUCUAAGUAAGGAGAGGAGUGAGUUCAGUCUGGGAAUUAUCCACUUUUCACUCCAAAUAGGCCCUAAACCUUUACUUUGGCUCGUAGCAGACUUCAAUACCCUUUAUGUCGUCAGUCAAAUUCCAUUGGGUAGCACCGCUAGCUUACUUGAUGAACAGUGGGUGCCUUAGAAAGGGGGAGUCAAUUCCAUAAAUGAGUUUCGAAACCAAUGCAAGUGUUGUUUACCUUAGUUAUAGUUCUUUGAGUAAGGAAGUUGGUUCCUAAUAUUCUAUUGGUGGAAAGAGAGAUGAUUUGAAACAAGUCGUUACGCUAACACUGUCUGUUUAGGACUCUGAAUAAGCCUUUGUUGAAUGAAGGGGCAUAGUCAGAAGCCAAGGCAUCUAAUUUCUGAAUAAUUUCAUAUCUAGAGUGAAGGGUUGAAUAAUUUCAUAUAUCCUAGAGUAUAGGGUUCGGAUGUCGAUAUUCUUUGAUUCUAUUUAUUCUGUGGGUGAGUCAAUCCUCCAUUGAAGGGUUGCAUUCGUUUCGGAGUUGAAAGGGGUGAGUCAUAUAUAUCAUACUGUGUGUGCUAUGGUUAGUUCAGAUAUACCAUACUGUGUGUACUAUCCAGAUUCCAUUCAACAAGCGCAAGUGCGCAAGAACAAAUAAGAUCAGGUACGUACUGUUAAGGGUCUAGUCUAUGUUAGCAAGAACAAAUAAGAUCGGGUACUGUCAAGGGGGUCUAUGUUAGUAAUGCGGUAGGGCUGCUCUCCAAACUUAGAGAAUGGGCCUAAUUGUACCGGUGUAGCUCGCUGUAGCUCAAACAAAGUAGUUUCAUUUCCUUAGAGUUCCAUUUCUUUCUGACCGCUCGCUCUGUCGGCCAUGUUUCACAUAGGUGCUUUAAGAAUCGAAUAUCCGUUGGAUUUCCGCCUCUGGUUUGUACCGUUGCUUGUUCCCCGCACUCAACAAACAAAACACAGAAGAAAGACUAAGUGCUAAACUAACAGAGUUACUAAGAGCUAACGUGAGCUUAUUAUAGUUUCCUUAAGUAAGUUUACGACAGUUUAUCCACUACAAGGUCAAGCACGAAAAGGGGAAAGGAAUAGAAGAUAGGCGCUAAAGUCAUAAGUCAGUUUAGGAGUUAGAUACUAGAUUAAUUAUACCUUUUUCAUUACACCUUAAUCCAUUUAGGAGUUAGGUACUAUAUUCAUCAUACUUUAGAAUCCAUAUAUAUUUCUAGGACAGAGGCAUAGGCAAUCGGUAGUGUAGUAACUGCUUUAAGGUUAUGAGGCGCAGGGUCAAUGGACAACGGUGAAGAUUGGGACUCCUAAUAGCUUGCUUGGAACUCCCCCUCUGAAGAGCAAUCGGCACGUUUCGUUUCGCUUUUCUGGAACUUUACUACUCUGUGGGCUCCGGCUUUCUAGUUCUCGUUUCAAUGUCCCUCUUUCUCACAGCUUUCUUUUUCUCCAGCGUCAUCAUCUUAUUUAUUCCGUACCCUAGAAGUAAGCAUCUUAUUCCGUACCCUAGAAGUAAGCAUCUUAUUCCGUACCCUAGAAGUAUAAUAAUCAUCUUAUUUAUUCCGUACCCUAGAAGUAAGCAUCUGACUCUUUCCGUAUCCUAGAAGUAUAGCUCAAAAUCCCCCUUCCUCUUUUCUAGUAAGACUACCUUUUUCGAGUCAUACAUAAAUAACGGACUAUAAAGAGAAAGUCUAGCCUUUUUUAGCUGCCCUCACUCUAACAAGUGAGUAAGUGACUGGUCGUUUGUUUAGGGGUUAAGUUACUGCUCUGCUUCGCUGGGUAUGAAGUCCUUGCUUUUCCUCAUAUUGUAUUAGUGAGUUACACAAAGCAGCAAGUCUCUACCUUGGCCUUGGAAAUGGUAUGAAUUUAGAGCGCUCCACCUUUCCUGGGCCGCCGGUCCAAGAAUUCUCAUGUUAUAGGGUUGGGUAUAAUCCGUAAAAUGAGUCAAGCUAGUGGUACGCCCUUUAUGGUUUGCGAUGAGACCUUACUGGCUACUCCACUUUACUUGAGACCUUCCUUACUUUACUUGAGACCUUCCUUACUUGAGAUUAGACUUGAGACGAGCCUAUAUUGUAGGGCUACUGCUUGAGAUUAGACUUGAUACAAGCCUAUAUUGUAGGGCUACUGCUUUACCUUCGAGCAGAUUAGAUGAAAUGAAAGGUCCAAGCUACGACUAAUGAAUAAAUAUGUUCGAAAGCAAAGAGAAAGGAAUCUCCCAAUUCCACUAAGAAACUUGCCAACUACGGCUUCAACUCACAACUCGUAAGCCAAUCCUUCAUUUCAACAAAGAAACUUGCCUUAGAAUACAUUUCUUCCUAUAAUCAGUAGGGCCUAAACUCUCAUAUCUUAUGGUACACGACUCGACUUCUGGUACACGACUAGACUUUACUUAUUCUUUACCCGCUGCUAAUGGUUUAGAAAGUGCCCUUCAUGAGGCCCUUAUUGUAAGUUGCAGAGUCCUGUGUUCGCCAAGCAACUAGGCGCCCUUUUUUCCAAUAGAAAUAGAAUGGAAUAAUGGUAAGCCCUUUGUCUUUUCUUCUUCGCUGGGGGGUUGGGUUCUAGAGAAACUAUAUACAUCUCUUCCUUAACGGUGGGGAUAACAUAGAUUGAUUGAUUGAUAUUCUCCUCGAGAUUGAUUUUCCUUUUCUAAACCCUUCCCAUUAGGCUGUUCACAGCCCUUUCUUUCUUUGUUGCAUGCUGUCAAUCUUUAUUAAUCCGACACUACUUUGACCUUCCCAUUAGUAAGCCCCUUUGUUGCAUGCUGUCAAUCUUGCCAUAAAUACAUAUGUUUCCUAUCAAGGACUCAUUAAUCAGCUGAAAAGUCGCAAGAAGUAGGCAAUCCGCUUUGCUAAGUAAAGUAAGUUAUAUCCGGGGGGUCCACUAGUAUAGUUUUGGAAAGCAGGUUUAGGAAAGGCAGUUCACGGACCCCUUCCAAGUGUGUUAUGCCAUAGAUUCUCCUUUGAGUGGUUUUCGCUUCUAUUUCCGUUGAGAACUUAUCCUUCUUUUAGUAAAAACAGAUAUCUGCGUCACUUAUGCCCCAGUUGCAUUUCCGUAUUGAAAGCAGGGGCGGCAGGUAGGUGGGUGUCUAAUUCCAAGACAAGCGCAUAAGGCGAUAAUCUAUCUAUCUUUCCCUAGGGCUAACAAAACCAUAAGGAUUGAUUCUCUUUAUUUUCAUGGGCUUUCCUACCCUUUCUGGAGGACAGCUAUCAUAUCAUAGGCUUUUUUCGCCCAUGCUUUCUUUCCCUCUUUUUGCUAUCCGCUCUGCUCAACUGUUUACGAUAAUUAGUUAUGAGGCAAGAUAGCUAGCAAGUG